AUGUAGCCAAGUGGAUNAAGGCAAU
rnacentral:tRNA from 1 species